rnacentral:ncRNA from 1 species
CCUGAAACAGGGCAAACCCGUUGAAAAGCGGGGACGCAAAGUCACCGGCCUACAGUCAGCCGCAGCGCGGCCGGCCAGGGUAGCGGGACCGCCAGA